rnacentral:lncRNA from 1 species
GUCGAAAUUUACAAUUUAGUGGUACUAAAUGAUAUAAAGAUUACAAAAAUGGCGAUAUAAAGAUUACAAAAAUCAUUGUGUUAAAUGAUGAGUGAAAAUGAGAUGCAUUCUAAAGAACAGUGCCAUAAUAUAGGGGGGCUCAGCACGCUGGUCACAUUCAGCAAAUUUUCUCCCAGGAUCGCAGGCUCAUAUUGUCAGUGGACUUGCGGUGUAAAAUUGAAACUUUUGCAUUUUUCAAAGAACUGGCCACUUUCUGUAAGAUGUCCGCUGUCAAUACGAACCCACACGAGUGGGAGAAAUUUUGCUAAAUUUGACCAACGUGCAGCCCCCCAAGUCAACAUGAAAUUUCAACAAGGGGGCUCACUCCCUUCAACAAGGGGGCUCACUCCACUGAGCCCUCCCUCCAGUACACCACUUGGCCUAUCUUCUAAGCAAGGAAUUUUUUUUUUUGCACUAUGCCUUGAAAGAUUUUUUUUUUUCA